AUACGAAGGUCCCGAGCGUUACUCGGAAUCACUGGGCGUAAAGAGUAUGUAGGCGGUUUGGUAAGUCAGGUGUGAAAUCCCGGAGCUCAACUUCGGAACUGCAUCCGAUACUGCCAGACUAGAGUAAUGGAGAGGCAGGUGGAAUUCUCGGUGUAGCAGUGAAAUGCGUGGAUAUCGAGAGGAAGACCAAUGGCGAAGGCAGCCUGCUGGACAUUUACUGACGCUGAGAUACGAAGGCUAGGGGAGCGAAAGGGAUUAGAAACCCUAGUAGUCC
rnacentral:rRNA from 1 species